GGCGGUAUAGCUCAGCCUGGUAGAGCGACGGAUUCAUAACCCGUAGGUCGGGAGCUCAAAUCUCCCUACCGCCA
rnacentral:tRNA from 1 species